GACAGAGGGUGCAAACGUUGUUCGGAAUUACUGGGCGUAAAGCGUGUGUAGGCGGCCUUGCAAGUCGGAUGUGAAAGCCCCGGGCUCAACCCGGGAAGUGCACUCGAUACUGCAGGGCUUGAGUGUCGGAGAGGUUGGUGGAAUUCUCGGUGUAGAGGUGAAAUUCGUAGAUAUCGAGAGGAACACCGGCGGCGAAGGCGGCCAACUGGACGACUACUGACGCUGAGACACGAAAGCGUGGGGAGCGAACAGG
rnacentral:rRNA from 1 species